AUGUCAUAGAAGAAUACUCUCUCUCUCUCUCUCUCUCUCUCUCUCUCUCUCUCUAUAUAUAUAUAUAUAUAUAUAUAUAUAUAUGUAGAUAUAUAGAUAAAGAGGGAGGGAGAGAGAGAGAUUUACAAAACUG